GGGAGGGAGAGGAGAGGCUACUGGACUAGGAGGGAGAACAGGUGUGAGAGAUGACAGUGGAAAUCAAGGAAGAGACAAGAGGAUGAAAGAUCUGCUCUGCUCUCCUGACGGCCAAAGGUUGUGGUCGUUGUUUUCACCAAUGGAAAUCAUCCCCCAGUGGGAGAGAGGAAGCCAUGGUGGAGAAGCAGAGAGACAGGAACACAACAGACACACAUGGAGUGAGGCUGGAAAGCAGCAGUGUCUCAGAGCGACAUAGUGGAGAUGGUCUCCAGAGCCUCAGGUCAGAGGGGGACAGUGGGCAGGGGGCCGAAGGUGGUGAUGGCCCUCAGCGUGGCUCAGGACAGCAGUGUGUACACCAGGGCAAUGCAGGAAGCAGGCCUGGGACCCCUUGGGCAAUAGUUUAGAGGAAAAAACACAAGGAAAGAAUGAAAAUGGCAUCAGAGAAGACCCUCUGCUUCUCAUCUGGAGUACCGUCAGUGUUGAGCUCUAUAGUUCAGGAUCAGGGAUUCUCAACCUUGCAUGAAUCGUAAUUACCUGGAGGGCUAUUAAAACACAGACCACUGGGUCCUGCUCCCCAGAGCUUCUGAUUCAGGAGAUCUGGGGUGGGGCCUGAGAAUUUGCAUUUCUAAACUGUUCCCAGAUGAUACUAAAGCUACUGGUCUGGAGACCACAUCUUGAGGGCCACUGUUGUUCAAAAAUGAGGAGCAGUUAGAAUUACUUAGAGAAGCUAUGAGGACAGAGAAGACACAAAGUUUCAGGGGUGAGUGUGACCUGAGGUUAGCCCCUGGGUCUGUUUAGGCUCUCUCCCAUGCUAAACUCAAAUACAACUUCCCCUCAGAAACCCCAAGACCCACAAAGAACCAGAAGCCUCAGGCAAUGAGAGAGGAAAAUGAAGAUGGAGUGGGCUCUAGAUCUAAUGAGACAAAUAGAGCUGAUGGCUGGACACAGGCGAAUCGCAGAUGUGCGGAAGGACGACGAUAUGGCUGGAGACGCUGCUGGGAGGUGGAGUUGAACAAAUGACAGCGGGAUGAAUAACAGAUGAGAAGGAAUGGGGACUUUGGCAAAGUAAAAAUCUUAUUUGACUCAAAGUAUGAGUGGACCAGCAGAGAGAUAAAAGGAAAAAGAAAUCACAAACAAACUCGGGGCUCCUAGGACAGCAAAAGGAAAUGCACGCAGGGCAACCAGAGAACCAAGAGAAGAAACCCCAACCAUUUCCCUCAAGGCUGUAUUCCUGAUAAAGCACCAGGAACUCUCCUCCAAGGAGCUUAGGAACUGGGCUGAAGAGUGGGACUGGAUUUUUGUUUGAUCUUCUCCUUUAGAAUCCUCCACUCAGGGCAGAAUUAUUCAGAUUAAUUUCCACUCCCUUGCUAUGUCCCUCCCCCAAGUCUGUAACCGAUGGGUUACAUCAGUUUCUCUAAGGGACAAAUCUAAGAUCCCUAUUAGCUUUUUUCUCCCUUAUCCCUUGCUCUUCUGAAUAUGCCAAGAGGUUGCCCAGCACCUCAAGCUAAGUCACGUAUUUGGAAUUCACUCUGCCCCCUUCACCUUCAAGGGAAACUGGUUUAUAGACACCGUGCCGGUGCCUGAACCGACCAGCUCUCCAGCGCCGGAAUUGUGGCUGCUCUCGGAGGGGAGGAGGGCAGCUGAGAAACAACCCACGGAGACAGCAUGUAGCAGGUUAGGACAGGGGCAAGUCUGCAGAUCAGACAAGCGUGCAAUGCCACGAGGUUAAAGGGGUAAAGUCGUUCUGAGCCACAGUGGAUGGUAAAUGCCGAUUGUGGUGCUGGAGUUGGAACCGCUCAGGAGGAGGCCUUGCCCACUAGUUCUGUGCCCGCGGACUCCAAGCCCUCUGCAUAUCUCGGCCACAGGGACACCUUACGCUGCCUCUUCCCCGCCACCCGCAGGGGCUUCAUUCUCCCUUCUUCCUCUGCCAGUGUUCCGGUCACCACAGCCAACCGUGUCCCUCUCUCACACACACUGUGAGGGAGCAUAAAAGGAGAGCAUGCAGCUAGCUACCAAAGAGGCGAGGAGAAGCCCACCGGCUCCAGAGGGAGCCCCCAGCUAGCUCCCGAGAGGGAGUCGGGCGCUCACAGCUGCGGGGCAGAGACAGCCGAGCGUGUCCGCAGCACUUGGACCGGCACCGGCCGGCCCGCCUCCGCGAUGCGAACAGCUGGCGCUGUCAGACACGCUCAGAGCCCAGCGACCCGAUCCCUUAACGCGUUUGUCAGCCCCAACUCUUCCAGACUCUUCUCUGGUCUCCGGAAAGGCCCGCGUCCCGCAAGCCUCGAUCCCCGCUGCUCGCACACGGGUACCUGGGUGGCUGGCACUUGACUCUCCAUCCUGUCCCCGGGACCCAGC